rnacentral:rRNA from 1 species
AUUGAACGAUAGCGGGAUGCUUUACACAUGCCAGUCGACCGAGUAGCGGACUGGUGAGUAAUAUAUCGGCACGUGCACAGUAGCGGGGGAAAACUACUCGACACCGUGGCUAAUACCGCAUACUAUCCGCGCGGACGAUAUGGGAUUAGCUAGUUGGUGGGGGGAAGGCUCACCAAGGCAACGAUCCGUAGCUGGUUUGAGAGGAAGACCAGCCACACUGGGACUGAGACACGGCCCAGACUCCUACGGGAGGCAGCAGUGGGGAAUUUUGGACAAUGGGGGAAACCCUGAUCCAGCCAUCCCGCGUGUAUGAGAAGGCCUUCGGGUUGUAAAGUACUUUUGGCAGAGAAGCGGUAUCUGCAGAAUAAGCACCGGCUAACUACGUGCCAGCAGCCGCGGUAAUAC